rnacentral:sRNA from 1 species
ACGUCACUCCCCAUCAUUCUCCAUCUCGAUCCCGUCUCCUAGCAUGGCGGCAGCCGCCUUUUCAUGGCGACUACCUCUUCUUCUCCCUACCACGGAGUUAGCGGAACGGCAGUGGCCGCCUAUUCCUCUCCUCGGCACCACGCUGUAGCAGUGCCUCUUCCUCUCCCUGGCGCCACGGUGGUGACCUCUUCCUUUCCUCUGUGCGGCGGCCACCGGAUCCGGCUACCACGAGCUCGGGGGUGACCAGAUCCAGCCACCAUGAGCCUCUUCCUCUUUCCCGCGCGGCGGCGACAGCCUCUUUCUUUCCCCUACCAGACGCGGCAGCCACAAGAUCCAGCCAACACGACAGUGAGCGUAGGUUACUCCAACGCGGAGAGUGGGGCACUUCUAAUUGGAGUGCCAAAAUUUGUGAGUGGAUUUUUAUGACUUGUGUUGUGUGAUUUGUGCGGGGGAUGUUGUUGUUUGAUGGAUCGAUAGUGAUUUGUGUUGUGUUAUUUGGGGGAUAUUGUUGGAUUGAUUGAUUGUGGUAUGUGGAUGUAGGAUGGUCUAGGUGUGAUAGGGAGUGGCUCGAUGCAUCAGCUCAGAAUCGAGCCAACUUUUUUUUAUACUAGAAAAAAUGC